rnacentral:rRNA from 1 species
UGCCAGCCGCCGCGGUAAUACGGAGGGGGCUAGCGUUGUUCGGAAUUACUGGGCGUAAAGCGCGUGUAGGCGGUUCGUUAAGUCUGAUGUGAAAGCCCGGGGCUCAACCCCGGAAGUGCAUUGGAAACUGGCGAACUUGAGUACGGGAGAGGAAAGUGGAAUUCCGAGUGUAGGGGUGAAAUCCGUAGAUAUUCGGAGGAACACCAGUGGCGAAGGCGACUUACUGGUCUUUUACUGACGCUGAGGCACGAAAGCGUGGGGAGCAAACAGGAUUAGAUA